rnacentral:rRNA from 1 species
GAUGAACGCUGGUGGCGUGCCUAAUACAUGCAAGUCGAGCGAACGGACGAGAAGCUUGCUUCUCUGAUGUUAGCGGCGGACGGGUGAGUAACACGUGGAUAACCUACCUAUAAGACUGGGAUAACUUCGGGAAACCGGAGCUAAUACCGGAUAAUAUUUUGAACCGCAUGGUUCAAAAGUGAAAGACGGUCUUGCUGUCACUUAUAGAUGGAUCCGCGCUGCAUUAGCUAGUUGGUAAGGUAACGGCUUACCAAGGCAACGAUGCAUAGCCGACCUGAGAGGGUGAUCGGCCACACUGGAACUGAGACACGGUCCAGACUCCUACGGGAGGAAGCAGUAGGGAAUCUUCCGCAAUGGGCGAAAGCCUGACGGAGCAACGCCGCGUGAGUGAUGAAGGUCUUCGGAUCGUAAAACUCUGUUAUUAGGGAAGAACAUAUGUGUAAGUAACUGUGCACAUCUUGACGGUACCUAAUCAGAAAGCCACGGCUAACUACGUG